rnacentral:rRNA from 1 species
AGGACGAACGCUUGCGACGUGCCUAAGAAAUGCAAGUCGAACGGAUCAUCCUUCGGGGUGAUUAGUGGCGAACGGUCGCGUAACACGUGGGCAACCUGCCCUGAAGCGGGGGACAACAAGCCGAAAGGUUUGCUAAUACCGCAUGUGGAUCGCCUCGGCAUCGAGGAUUAUCCAAAGCCGCAAGGCACUUCAGGAUGGGCCCGCGGCCUAUCAGCUAGUUGGAGGGGUAACGGCCCACCAAGGCUUCGACGGGUAGCUGGUCUGAGAGGACGAUCAGCCGGAUUGGGACUGAGAUACGGCCCAGACUCCUACGGGGGGCAGCAAUUAGGAAUCUUGCACAAUGGGCGAAAGCCUGAUGCAGCGACGUCGCGUGGGGGAUGAAAUCUUUCGGGAUGUAACCCUUUGAGUGGGAAGAAAAAUGACGGUACCACUCGAAUAAGCCCGGACUAACUACGUGCCAGCAGCCGC